CACACCCCAAGCUCUGCUUAAUGUUGGACAAUGCCUUAACCCUUCUGGGCUAGGGCACGUCUAGAACCCGUGGGCGCCCCCGCCGAACCACAAGCGUAGCAAGACGCAAGUCACUCGCUUCUAUCAGUCUCGGUGGAGGAUCUGCCUAAUCCAUUUCUGAA
rnacentral:misc_RNA from 1 species